GACAGAGGCCUCAAGCGUUAGGCGGAAUCACUGGGCUUAAAGCGUGUGUAGGCGGAUCGUUAAGUGUCUUGUGAAAUCCCACGGCUCACCCGUGGAACUGCUGGGCAUACUGGCGAUCUUGGGCCAACUAGGGGCAGCCGGAACAAGCGGUGGAGCGGUGAAAUGCGUAAAUAUCGCUUGGAACGCCGAAGGUGAAAACAGGCUGCUGGGGUUGUGCCGACGCUGAGACACGAAAGCCAGGGGAGCAAACGGG
rnacentral:rRNA from 1 species